rnacentral:rRNA from 1 species
GAUGAACGCUGGCGGCGUGCCUAAUACAUGCAAGUCGAGCGAAUGGAUUAAGAGCUUGCUCUUAUGAAGCUAGCGGCGGACGGGUGAGUAACACGUGGGUAACCUGCCCAUAAGACUGGGAUAACUCCGGGAAACCGGGGCUAAUACCGGAUAACAUUUUGAACCGCAUGGUUCGAAAUUGAAAGGCGGCCUCGGCUGUCACUUAUGGAUGGACCCGCGUCGCAUUAGCUAGUUGGUGAGGUAACGGCUCACCAAGGCAACGAUGCGUAGCCGACCUGAGAGGGUGAUCGGCCACACUGGGACUGAGACACGGCCCAGACUCCUACGGGAGGCAGCAGUAGGGAAUCUUCCGCAAUGGACGAAAGUCUGACGGAGCAACGCCGCGUGAGUGAUGAAGGCUUUCGGGUCGUAAAACUCUGUUGUUAGGGAAGAACAAGUGCUAGUUGAAUAAGCUGGCACCUUGACGGUACCUAACCAGAAAGCCACGGCUAACUACGUGCCAGCAGCCGCCGUAA